rnacentral:rRNA from 1 species
AUGGAGCCGACCUUGAAAUACCACCCUUUAAUGUUUGAUGUUCUAACGUUGACCCGUAAUCCGGGUUGCGGACAGUGUCUGGUGGGUAGUUUGACUGGGGCGGUCUCCUCCUAAAGAGUAACGGAGGAGCACGAAGGUUGGCUAAUCCUGGUCGGACAUCAGGAGGUUAGUGCAAUGGCAUAAGCCAGCUUGACUGCGAGCGUGACGGCGCGAGCAGGUGCGAAAGCAGGUCAUAGUGAUCCGGUGGUUCUGAAUGGAAGGGCCAUCGCUCAACGGAUAAAAGGUACUCCGGGGAUAACAGGCUGAUACCGCCCAAGAGUUCAUAUCGACGGCGGUGUUUGGCACCUCGAUGUCGGCUCAUCACAUCCUGGGGCUGAAGUAGGUCCCAAGGGUAUGGCUGUUCGCCAUUUAAAGUGGUACGCGAGCUGGGUUUAGAACGUCGUGAGACAGUUCGGUCCCUAUCUGCCGUGGGCGCUGGAGAACUGAGGGGGGCUGCUCCUAGUACGAGAGGACCGGAGUGGACGCAUCACUGGUGUUCGGGUUGUCAUGCCAAUGGCACUGCCCGGUAGCUAAAUGCGGAAGAGAUAAGUGCUGAAAGCAUCUAAGCACGAAACUUG